rnacentral:rRNA from 1 species
UUAAGCGACUAAGCGUACACGGUGGAUGCCCUGGCAGUCAGAGGCGAUGAAGGACGUGCUAAUCUGCGAUAAGCGUCGGUAAGGUGAUAUGAACCGUUAUAACCGGCGAUUUCCGAAUGGGGAAACCCAGUGUGUUUCGACACACUAUCAUUAACUGAAUCCAUAGGUUAAUGAGGCGAACCGGGGGAACUGAAACAUCUAAGUACCCCGAGGAAAAGAAAUCAACCGAGAUUCCCCCAGUAGCGGCGAGCGAACGGGGAGCAGCCCAGAGCCUGAAUCAGUGUGUGUGUUAGUGGAAGCGUCUGGAAAGGCACGCGAUACAGGGUGACAGCCCCGUACACAAAAAUGCACAUAUUGUGAGCUCGAUGAGUAGGGCGGGACACGUGGUAUCCUGUCUGAAUAUGGGGGGACCAUCCUCCAAGGCUAAAUACUCCUGACUGACCGAUAGUGAACCAGUACCGUGAGGGAAAGGCGAAAAGAACCCCGGCGAGGGGAGUGAAAAAGAACCUGAAACCGUGUACGUACAAGCAGUGGGAGCAUGCUUAGGCGUGUGACUGCGUACCUUUUGUAUAAUGGGUCAGCGACUUAUAUUCUGUAGCAAGGUUAACCGAAUAGGGGAGCCGAAGGGAAACCGAGUCUUAACUGGGCGUUAAGUUGCAGGGUAUAGACCCGAAACCCGGUGAUCUAGCCAUGGGCAGGUUGAAGGUUGGGUAACACUAACUGGAGGACCGAACCGACUAAUGUUGAAAAAUUAGCGGAUGACUUGUGGCUGGGGGUGAAAGGCCAAUCAAACCGGGAGAUAGCUGGUUCUCCCCGAAAGCUAUUUAGGUAGCGCCUCGUGAACUCAUCUCCGGGGGUAGAGCACUGUUUCGGCAAGGGGGUCAUCCCGACUUACCAACCCGAUGCAAACUGCGAAUACCGGAGAAUGUUAUCACGGGAGACACACGGCGGGUGCUAACGUCCGUCGUGAAGAGGGAAACAACCCAGACCGCCAGCUAAGGUCCCAAAGUCAUGGUUAAGUGGGAAACGAUGUGGGAAGGCCCAGACAGCCAGGAUGUUGGCUUAGAAGCAGCCAUCAUUUAAAGAAAGCGUAAUAGCUCACUGGUCGAGUCGGCCUGCGCGGAAGAUGUAACGGGGCUAAACCAUGCACCGAAGCUGCGGCAGCGACGCUUAUGCGUUGUUGGGUAGGGGAGCGUUCUGUAAGCCUGUGAAGGUGUACUGUGAGGUAUGCUGGAGGUAUCAGAAGUGCGAAUGCUGACAUAAGUAACGAUAAAGCGGGUGAAAAGCCCGCUCGCCGGAAGACCAAGGGUUCCUGUCCAACGUUAAUCGGGGCAGGGUGAGUCGACCCCUAAGGCGAGGCCGAAAGGCGUAGUCGAUGGGAAACAGGUUAAUAUUCCUGUACUUGGUGUUACUGCGAAGGGGGGACGGAGAAGGCUAUGUUGGCCGGGCGACGGUUGUCCCGGUUUAAGCGUGUAGGCUGGUUUUCCAGGCAAAUCCGGAAAAUCAAGGCUGAGGCGUGAUGACGAGGCACUACGGUGCUGAAGCAACAAAUGCCCUGCUUCCAGGAAAAGCCUCUAAGCAUCAGGUAACAUCAAAUCGUACCCCAAACCGACACAGGUGGUCAGGUAGAGAAUACCAAGGCGCUUGAGAGAACUCGGGUGAAGGAACUAGGCAAAAUGGUGCCGUAACUUCGGGAGAAGGCACGCUGAUAUGUAGGUGAAG